rnacentral:misc_RNA from 1 species
UCUCCGAUGGUGAACCAGCGGAGGGAUCAUUACCGAGUUUACAACUCCCAAACCCCAUGUGAACCUUACCAAACGUUGCUUCGGCGGGAUGCCCCGGGCGCGGGCCGCAAGGCCUCAGCCCCGGAACCAGGCGCCCGCCGGAGGCCCAAACCAAACUCUUGUUUUUGUAGAAUCUUCUGAGUGGCCUUUUAGGCAAAAAAUGAAUCAAAACUUUCAACAACGGAUCUCUUGGUUCUG